GGGCACGGUGGCAUAGUGGUUAGCACUGUUGCCUUGCAAGAAGGAGGUUCCGGGUUCGAUUCCGGGUCUGACCG
rnacentral:tRNA from 1 species